UACAGAGGGGGCAAGCGUUGUUCGGAAUUACUGGGCGUAAAGGGCUCGUAGGUGGCCAACUAAGUCAGACGUGAAAUCCCUCGGCUUAACCGGGGAACUGCGUCUGAUACUGGAUGGCUUGAGUUCGGGAGAGGGAUGCGGAAUUCCAGGUGUAGCGGUGAAAUGCGUAGAUAUCUGGAGGAACACCGGUGGCGAAGGCGGCAUCCUGGACCGACACUGACACUGAGGAGCGAAAGCCAGGGGAGCAAACGGG
rnacentral:rRNA from 1 species